rnacentral:rRNA from 1 species
UACGUAGGGUCCGAGCGUUGUCCGGAAUUACUGGGCGUAAAGCGCGCGCAGGCGGCCCGCGAGGUGUCACGUGAAAGCCCCCGGGCUCAACCCGGGAGGGUCGUGGCAAACCGGCGGCUUGAGGCCGGUAGAGGUGGGUGGAACUCCUGGUGGAGUGGUGAAAUGCGUAGAGAUCAGGAAGAACACCCGUGGCGAAGGCGGCCCACUGGACCAUACUGACGCUGAUGACCACGUAAAGCUAGGG